AUAUCAGGUGGAUCCGUUCAAUUUCGUAAUAUUUGUAACAUGAAUGAAUAAAUUGUGUGUAAGAUUUGUAGAUGAGAAAGGUAUAGUAUUCUAUCCCUCAGAGAAGGCUGUUUAUGACCCAGUAACUCCAUGUCUACAUUAAAGCCAAAACUUGUAUAUGAAAUUGCAGUAUUGGACAGUAAUGCACUAGGUAAUAUGCAAUAUUUUAACUUACUUUUCUACCUCAAUCUUAUAUUGUGUUGUCCAGUCCAGUGCAGCCUACAAACAUAUCAAUAUGAUGUCAUGCCACUAAGUAACUAAACAAUUCCACUUGUCGAUUCAACUAAAUCAUAUUAAUUUGGUUGCAUAUUAUUGACUCAUUCUUAUGUGAAAGAUUUCAGUGAGUAGUACGAGGAAUUUGUUGCAAGUAUUUCUCUUGUGACUGCCAGCCCACUCAUUUUUUCCUUUCCCCUACCCAUUACUAAACCAACAAUACUUUCAACAAUAUAUUUAAUUUGCAGUUAUCGAAAACUAAUUAUCUCGACUAAUGCCAAUAAAGGCACUGCAAACAAACAUUGAAACAAUCAAAGGGAAUUCAAGAAUCCAACUGAACUGAAAAUUCAGCUCAGCCAAAGGCUCGAUCAAUUGACUGACCAUUUGAUUCAGAAGCAAGCAUAGGUUUGUCUUCUAUUUGCUUUUUUUAGUUGCAGCUGAUUAUUAUUUAGGAAAUUUAUUCUUGGCAUGUUAUUAUAUCAUACAUUUAUCGAAAAAAAAUUUCAUGUUUCAACUUCCAGCUAAAAAUAAAAGGAGAUUAAGAGCAUCGUUAACCUUGCUUAAAAAUAUGUAAAAAUGUGUUUACAAACAUGUUUGGAUAAGUUACUUCUGCUUAAUUUUAAGUAAAAGUUACUUACUGUGAAAAUAACUCUCACUUUACUGACAAAAUAAGAAACUUAGUUCCUAUUUUGAUCAAUUAAUUGUUUACUCAAAAGUGCACCUUUUAUGUAGCCAACUAUGUUGAACUGAGUUUAUGUAUAAACUUUGCUGUUGAAAAUUAUGUUUAGAAUUUAACAACUGAGUUUAUUGGUUGAACAAGCAACUUUUGGUCUUUUAUCAGGUUGAGACACUAUCCUUAGAUGGAAAAAAUAAUGAAUAUGUUGAAUAUCUUAUGCCAAGUGAGGUGGAGAAAGUUAAUUUGACAUUUUAUGCAAAUUCAAGGGAGAAGGAUCAUUGAUGUCCUAAAUAUCCAAUCUGAUGUUCCUCCUUUCAACUCAUAUUCAAAUAAAUUGAGACAUACCAUUCAUUUUGCCACCAAUAAAUCAAAUUCUAGAGGUAAGGAGAGAAAUUGCUCUUUUGGAUUGAAGAAAAAAUAUCGACAUUUCUAUUGUACUAAUAAUAGAAAGUUAACAUAGCCCAAGCUCACGUUUGCAAGGUGAUCUCUGCAAAUUGAAAUGAGUCAUAGUUCUAUUAUUGAGUUUUAUUUUCAACCCUUGCAUCAAAUUAUGAGUUUGUUGGAAUGUAAUAGAGAUUGAUAUAGUACUUUUUUAAAAUUGUAAUAUGGAUAUAUUUAGAAU
rnacentral:lncRNA from 1 species